rnacentral:rRNA from 1 species
UACAGAGGUCCCAAGCGUUGUUCGGAUUCACUGGGCGUAAAGGGUGCGUAGGCGGGCCUUUAAGUCAGGGGUGAAAUCCUGGAGCUCAACUCCAGAACUGCCUUUGAUACUGAAGAUCUUGAGUUCGGGAGAGGUGAGUGGAACUGCGAGUGUAGAGGUGAAAUUCGUAGAUAUUCGCAAGAACACCAGUGGCGAAGGCGGCUCACUGGCCCGAUACUGACGCUGAGGCACGAAAGCGUGGGGAGCAAACAGG